AUUUCGUCACAAACAGAUUUAUAUAUUUAUCAAUACUUCUAUUCGUUAUUCUUUUCUGUACAGCUUUUUUAUUGCCCAGAUUUUAGUUAGCCUCUGUUCAAUUGACUGUUAUAUGUCAAUAGAAACAUGUCUCACAAAUUAAAGUGUCUUGUAAAAUAUUUGUGGGGUUUUUUUCAAGGAUUUUCUUCCCAAAUCUAUUACAUGCCAACUGUAAAUUGUUAUUUCUGCUAAAUCCUUAACUUAAAUGUAUAUAUGGUGUUUAUCUGUUUCUCUCUCUGUUUUAGAUGCACACAUCAAUCUGAAAUUCGGGCUUAAAGCCAGAAUUGCAGGAAUGCAACACGUGUUGCAGAGGACUCUUUCACUGCCCUCUGUGCCCCACUUUCAGCCCUACUGUCAGGGCAAAGAUUGAGGAGCAUCUCAGUGUGCAUAUAAAAAAUGCUUUGCCUUUCAAAGAUAAAAUGAUAUGCCGGUGCAGGCUGCCUUGUAGGACAACAGGACACUUUCACCGCCCUGUCUGUAAGAUUACAAUCAUACGGCGUGGGGAUAUGGCAAGGCAUUUAUUGUCUUGUCAGCAUUCUUCAAUGCCAAGUCAGCCACCAUUAUCAGGACUGCUCCCCGCUGAACUCUCCGAGGAGACCCGUAUUCCUCCGGCAGUACUCUUCGAGGAGCCCCGUUUCCCCCCCCAAGGUUUUGUCUUCGGUAUCUGAACCAUUUUCUGAGUCUUUGUUAGAACAUUCAUUGGCUCUACCCUCUGUGUUCAAUAAAACUACAGCUGAUGGAAAGUCCAUGAAAAUGACAUGCCCUCACUGUGGCCUUACUCUUCAUAGCUCUGGCAAGCUAUUUGCACACUGGAGAGAGGAAGCCAAAGCUGUGCUUGAAGGACAACACGUGCCCAUUUUCAGACUGAAAAAGCGCAAGUUCCAGGAAGUCAGUCAGGAGCCAGCAGUUGUUGAAGAUCUGCGUCCUGCUGUGCCUUAUUUUGGUUGUCCAAAAUAAGGCACUUUUCUGUGGACAUGUAACAAUGCCCAAAUAUGUGUCCUUAAAUCAAGAGCAGAGGGUCUUAAUAGACAUGUCAGAGGAAGAAGACACUGGAGCAAGGGACUUGUUCCUCUUUGUUUUUCAGUUUGCAGAGGACAUGGAGCUCUUUUUGAAAGCAUGUGCUGAUGAUCAGGGGCUAAGGGUCAGUGCUAUGUUUGACAUGUAAUGGACAAAUGAAGGCACUGGCUGUGUUUGUUUGUUUGUUUAAUAUGUUGUUGUUGUUGUUGUUGUUUUUUUGUUUUGUUUUUUUGCGUAGUACAAAAUUCCAAUUAAACUUAUUUCAAAAUGUUGUUCACUUGAUUCUGUGUCCAUACUUAUAAUAAAUGAUUACAGUGAAACAGCAUUAAAUGUAAAUGUAACAGCAUUUUUUUAAACUUAUAAUUUCAAAAUAAAAAGCUUAUUAUUGAUAUUAACAGUAAAGAAUUGUAAUCAAUAAUAUUUUUAUACAUUUUAAACAUUAACACUCUGGGCUCUAUCCUGGCUAUCUGUGG
ensembl:lncRNA